GACGAACGCUGGCGGCGUGCUUAACACAUGCAAGUCGAACGGAAAGGCCCUUCGGGGUGCUCGAGUGGCGAACGGGUGAGUAACACGUGGGUGAUCUGCCCUGCACUUUGGGAUAAGCCUGGGAAACUGGGUCUAAUACCGAAUAGGACCACGCGCUUCAUGGUGUGUGGUGGAAAGCUUUUGCGGUGUGGGAUGGGCCCGCGGCCUAUCAGCUUGUUGGUGGGGUAAUGGCCUACCAAGGCGACGACGGGUAGCCGGCCUGAGAGGGUGACCGGCCACACUGGGACUGAGAUACGGCCCAGACUCCUACGGGAGGCAGCAGUGGGGAAUAUUGCACAAUGGGCGCAAGCCUGAUGCAGCGACGCCGCGUGAGGGAUGACGGCCUUCGGGUUGUAAACCUCUUUCAAUAGGGACGAAGCGCAAGUGACGGUACCUAUAGAAGAAGCACCGGCCAACUACGUG
rnacentral:rRNA from 1 species